rnacentral:rRNA from 1 species
AUUCCAGCUCCAAUAGCGUAUAUUAAAGUUGUUGCAGUUAAAAAGCUCGUAGUUGGAUUUCUGGCGGGAUGAACACGCCCUCAGCUGAGUGUGCAUGAGCGUCUCACCAUCCUUCUGUUAACCCUUAAGGUUUUAACGACCUUCUGGGGGCUCAGAUAUUUUACCUUGAGAAAAUUAGAGUGUUUCAGGCAGGCUAGCGCCGGGAUACAUUAGCAUGGAAUAAUGGAAUAGGACUUUUUCCUCUUCUGUUGGUCUGAGGGGUUCGAGUAAUGAUUAAUAGGGACAGUUGGGGGUAUUUGUAUUCCAUAGUCAGAGGUGAAAUUCUUGGAUUUAUGGGAGACAAACUAAUGCGAAAGCAUCUACCAAGGAUGUUUUCAUUG